GAUGAACGCUAGCGGCAGGCUUAAUACAUGCAAGUCAAGGGGCAGCAUGACUGUAGCAAUACAGUUGAUGGCGACCGGCAAACGGAUGCGGAACACGUACAGAACCUUCCUUUAAGUGGUGAAUAGCCCAGAGAAAUGUGGAUUAAUACACCGUAACAUAUAGAGUUGGCAUCAAUUUUAUAUUAUAGCCCCGGCGCUUAAAGAUGGCUGUGCGGCUGAUUAGGUAGUUGGCGGGGUAACGGCCCACCAAGCCUACGAUCAGUAACUGGUGUGAGAGCACGACCAGUCACACGGGCACUGAGACACGGGCCCGACUCCUACGGGAGGCAGCAGUAAGGAAUAUUGGUCAAUGGACGCAAGUCUGAACCAGCCAUGCCGCGUGGAGGAUGAAGGUCCUCUGGAUUGUAAACUUCUUUUCUCUGGGGCGAAAACCUCCCAUCCUUGGGAGCUUGACAGCACCAGAGGAAUAAGCACCGGCUAACUCCGUGCCAGCAGCCGCAGUAA
rnacentral:rRNA from 1 species